rnacentral:rRNA from 1 species
GAUGAACGCUGGCGGCGUGCUUAACACAUGCAAGUCGAACGGUGAAGCCAAGCUUGCUUGGUGGAUCAGCGGCGAACGGGUGAGUAACACGUGAGCAACCUGCCCUGGACUCUGGGAUAAGCGCUGGAAAUGGUGUCUAAUACUGGAUAUGAGCUCCUACCGCAUGGUGGGGGUUGGAAAGAUUUUUCGGUCUGGGAUGGGCUCGCGGCCUAUCAGCUUGUUGGUGAGGUAAUGGCUCACCAAGGCGUCGCCGGGUAGCCGGCCUGAGAGGGGGACCGGCCACACUGGGACUGAGAAACGGCCCAGACUCCUACGGGGGGCAGCAGGGGGGAAUAUUGCACAAUGGGCGGAAGCCUGAUUCAGCAGCGCCGCGUGAGGGAUGACGGCCUUCGGGUUGUAAACCUCUUUUAGCAGGGAAGAAGCUUUUGUGACGGUACCUGCAGAAAAAGCGCCGGCUAACUACGUGCCAGCCGCCGCGGUAA